rnacentral:rRNA from 1 species
AGCUCCAAAAGUGUAUAUUUAAGUUGUUGUGGUUAAAAAGCUCGUAGUUGGAUUUUGGGCGCAGGCGGCCGGUCCGUCGCAAGGCGUGCACUGGCCGCACCUGGCCCUCGAACCCGGCGCUCCGCCGGUGCUCUUGACUGAGUGUCGGCGGCGGCCGGGAAGUUUACUUUGAAAAAAUUAGAGUGUUCAAAGCAGGCGGCUCGCCUGAAUAACGGUGCAUGGAAUAAUGGAAUAGGACCUCGGUUCUAUUUUGUUGGUUUUCGGAGCGCGAGGUAAUGAUUAAGAGGGACGGACGGGGGCAUUCGUACUGUGCCGUUAGAGGUGAAAUUCUUGGAUCGGCGCAAGACGAGCGACUGCGAAAGCAUUUGCCAAGAAUGUUUUCU